AAAUUGAAGAGUUUGAUCAUGGCUCAGAUUGAACGCUGGCGGCAGGCCUAACACAUGCAAGUCGAACGGUAACAGGAAGAAGCUUGCUUCUUUGCUGACGAGUGGCGGACGGGUGAGUAAUGUCUGGGAAACUGCCUGAUGGAGGGGGAUAACUACUGGAAACGGUAGCUAAUACCGCAUAAUGUCG
rnacentral:rRNA from 1 species